AAAAAAAAGAAAUAGUGUAAUGGGAAACAUAUAGACCUGGGUUCAAACUCAGACACACAAUGUAACCAUAAGCAAUUUACUUAAUAUUCUUGAACUUAAGUUUCCUGAUCCACAACAUGAAAAUAACACCCACCUUAUUGGAUCGCUGUAAAGAUCAAAUGAGGUGUAUAGGAUACUAAGUACAAUGUCUGAUAUGUAGCAAAUAAUUUUUAAAAUGUUGUUUGUACUCUCUUACAAUUAUCCUCUAGUACAAUUAUCUAUACUCUCUUCUGGAAAGCAAAAACCUAUCUUGUCAUCUUUAUAUCCUCCAACAUAGCCUUGGUAGAUACUACAUAACUGUUUGGUGAAAUUAACCCCCGUAAUUUAAGGGUAACUAUCUCAGCUUUCCACUUGAGCAAGUUACCUCUAUCUAAAUAAAAUCUGCUGAGAAUGGAAUUUAAAAUUCCCAGACCAACACUUUAUUGGGCAUUUUGAUGAAGAAAAUGAAUCUCCAAUAAUCAACAAGAUAGCUUUAUUAGCACACUGCUCAAUAUUUGGUCUGCAUUCUACAAAAUUACUAUUGUAGCCAACACUUUCAUUUUGAGAUUCUUUACAGUUUUCAUUAAUCCAGGUUCCUUGGAAAUAAACUUUAGUUUCUUUGGCAUUGCAAAAAUGUCUAAGUUUUCUGCUAUACUUCAAAUAAAAAAUAAAGAGAAUACAACACAACAAAUUAGUUAUGAGAUAAAAAUUAGAAAUUGGCCAUUUUAAACAGCCAAUUUUUAUUUUUAUUAUGGUAAAUAUUCUUCCUUAUACCUUGAAACCUCUAGCCACCAAAGUUUACAUAGUUUAUUAACGCUUCCUUGUUGAAUAAACCUCCUGAAUUACUACCAAUACUUAAAAACAUUACUCCAUGCUAUUACAGUAAUUAACAGGACAGAAUACUGUCGUUUCAGAUUUUCUUACUUUGCCUUUCCACGACCAAAAGCUAAUUCCAGCUCAAGCAGUGGAGUAUUUCAAAUUCUACAAUUUGAAAAAAUAAUGAAAAGCUGGAUAUAUUUCUAAAUAAAUAUCAAUUUCAUUAAAGGUAGGUUGUAAUAUGUAACUUUCAGAGUAAAACAAGUAUUCCUGAGACAGAAUACAUAGCAAAGUAACAGUUUUAACCAUUAAAUACAUCUUAAAACUGGCUACAGAAUCUCUUAAAUACUUAAAAUCUGUAUGGCAGAAAAGAAUUAAUAAUGUCAUAUUAAACAGUAUUUCAGUCUAAGUUCAAACAAUUUAGAAGCUUUUAAAAACACUGAUUCUUGAAACGAAAGUUUAAUAAAUACUUGGUUACUGUACACUAAGUUUCAGGACCCAAUGAAAUAAAAUGUUUGAACGGAUGGAAAUAUUUGGUGAAGCAAACUUUAUGACUAUCUUUAGUGUUGAUGUAAGUAAUAUUCUCAAAAAUUUUAAUAAACACGAUAAAGUUUAAAUGCAAUAACUUUUAUCAAAACUGGGAGUCAAAUAAACCAAGAAAAUGACUUGGAUAUAUGACAACCUAUAAGGUAACACUUAAUAAAAACUAUUCUUUUUUCUGGAAGGGGUUAUAUUUCAGUUUAUCUAGAAGCUUAACUUUAGGUGUUCCUCUAUUUUGGUCGUAUUUCUAAGUCAUCAUAUUGAAAAUUUCUUCCUUCUUUGCUUGCUUCCUUGUUAUUACCAAAAUUGAUCUUUUUAAUUAAAAGAUCCUAAAUGUUGUAUUUUAAUACACAUGAAAAUAUAAUUUUCAGUUCCAGUGCCGAAGUAGGUGUCUUUUAUGCCAAUUUUCUAUAAAAUACAAGUAACAAUGCCAAAUAUAUUAUAACCCGAACACUGCUCAAUUCAAAAGAAAAAUGACCCUAUCAUCCUUCUCAAUCAAAACCAAAGUAUGUUUUUCAUGGUUCAAGACCAGGUAAUGUAAAGUAUUUCUCACUUGCCUCACAUCAUCUCCAUUUUAAAAGCUGAUGCAAAAUAUUUACUAUUAAUAAAAUAGUAAAUUACACUCAUUUAGCAAAUGUGGUAUGCUGUAAGAUCUGCUUAUAAAAGGCUAACUGUAAUUAAAAUAUUACAUAGCAACAUUUUCAAUGAUAUGAAAUUCAGCUUUGCAUUACCAAAGGACUCUAAAUGUGCAACACUGCAUUGGUAUACAUUGUUACAAUCUCUAUUUUUGUGGAGGAAUAUCAACUAUUAUACCAACGUUUUCAACCUUACGUCUGACUGCACAAGAAACCAAACUUAUAAAGAGAUUUCUUAAAAAGUGUAUUUAAACAAGAAAUUUAGAUGCAGUUGCAAUACUUAAUUUUGACAUCAAGAAUCAACUGUUUCAGAAUUUCUAGAUUUAGUCUUUCUUUAAAAAAAUUAACUGUCCAACACACAAAAAGACAUGCAAGCAUGCUGUUUUUUCCCCUAAUUCCCAUCUACAAUCUUCGAGUAGCUAAAAGAUAACUAUAUUAAAAUAAAGCAAAAUAACUUUUAAGUCAAAAAAACAUGAAAUUUUAACAUAUUUGUUAAAAUUCAGAUGUAAACACUUCUGGAACACUGCCAAGUAAUGAAAAACCCGACAGGGUAGCUUAAGUCCCCAUGUACACCAUAGAGAUCUAAAAACGAAAAUCGUGCCUACAUCAUCAAAUAUUUAGCUGGAAAUGGGAAAAUAAUAAUACUGCUACUCGACAUGGACUUAACUAAGCGAUCUAUUUUGCUCUUAUCUUUUGCAGACAUGUGGUGCCCAAUGUUUUCCCUUUCUCAUUAGUAAACAACUUAUAUAGCUCUUUCUCUGGUGCUCAAAUGAGAGGGAAAAUGAAAGUCUGAAAAGCAUCAGCAUCUGAGCUUCCGGAUCUGGGCAGGGGUAGCCGAGAAACGCACCGUGUAUCUAUCACUUAGUUUAAAAAAAAAAAAAAAGGAAAAGAAAACGAUAGCUCUCAAAAUAGAGGAAAGAAAUUCUGUCACCUGAAGAGGGCUGGCGAAGUGAAGCAAGCAUUUGGUGAGACUCGUUUUUUUUAAAAAAACUUGUCUAGGGGCUGGAAGUUAUGGGGGCGCUCUUUGUGCGGAGUCUGAGGGGAGGGGGAGGGACAAGAAAACAGCUUGGGAGUCAUUCAAAAGAGUUUAAGGAGCCGAGUACGGAGGAAAGGCGGGGCGGGGCCCAGCCGCGCGAAGGGAGGGGGCGACAGGGGCGUUCGCGGGCAGCUCUGACACCGCGGGAGGGGGCGACGGGCCGGCCUCUCCAGGGACCGGGCGAGAGCAGGCUCCAGCUGCAGCAGGGCUGCAGAGAUGGGGUUCCCUCUGUCUGAGAAUGUCACGUGGCCACACCUACCUUCAAAUGAGGAUGAGAAAUGUCAUCUCUAACUGUGUCGUUACGGACCUUGCUACAACUCUUCCUUAAGAACAGGGACAGGGCGGAGUUUGACGGACAAUUCACAGUAUCCACUUCAUAGAGGAGCCUAUACCAGCUCUAAGUUCAACUGCCUGAGACCGAAGUGAUGAUUCUGUCUACCUAUUUGCCUUGGUGGAACAUCAGACACUGAACCUACUGGCUCCUUGAUCUUGAACUUCCCAGCCUCCAGAACUAUGAGAAAUUAAUUUAUUCUGUUUGGGAGCACCCAGUUUAUGAUAUUAUAGCAACCUGAGUAGACUGAGACAAGCUUUAUCUCAGAAACGAAGUUGCUACAUGGGAUGGAAUUCAGUGCUAAGGAUGGCAGAGUGGAAAGACAGGAGAAACUUAGAUCUCUGAUAAUUGUGGACCGUACCAAACCAGGACUACUACCUCCACACAAAAUUGGUAAGUCCAGGGAAGCGGUAGCUUCAGCAUUUCAGACCCAAGGAUCAGCAGGGCUCUUUCUGUCUUUCAGGUCUUACUUGCCUCUGCUUCUCCUAGCAUACUAGCUUCUAUCUCUCUUGAAUAGAAUCUCUCCACGUGGUUGGAAAAGUGCCACCAGCAACUUUCCUUUUGGCACUUCACAUGAUAGUGACAACAUCUGCAUGCUUCAGGCUCUAUACUUGGAGCUUGUGAUCCUAAAGCAAUACCAGGAUACUCCUCCCUUAUACCUCUAGCUGAAAGUUCUGGGUCAUUGGAUGGGCCUGGGACAGGUACAUGCCCAUCCCUGAACUAGUAUGAUUGGCCUUUCAGACAUUGGCCUUUCAAUUGAGUAGAUGAAUUAUUUCCUGAAGGAACUAGGAGGAGGCAGACAAAAACUAUACUUUCCAUAAUCUAUUGCAUCUCCUGUAUUGCAAUUAUCUUUCGAGUUCUCCAUCUCCUCUACUGCUUUGUAGGGCCUUGAGGGCAAAGACUGCACCUUAUUAAUUUUGUACCCACCCAGUCAAGACUAGGACCUGGCAUAUAGUAGACCUUCAGCAAAUAGUUGCUGAAGAAAAAAAUGAACAAAAAAAUGCAGGCAAAGAAUUUCAGUAGGAGUGGGUUAGGAACCCAUGACAAAACUAUAAGCAAUAGGUAAAAAUACCAGCAAUAAGUAACGGCAUUAUGACCACUAAGGUAGCCUCAGGUCUGGGAAUUUUAUACAGUUCCGGCAGAGACAGGAACUUACUAUAAUGUAACCAGUUUAGACUGAAUAAAUGUGUAAUUGGCAUAUAAACUUGUAUGCCUAGGCAAGCAAGCAUUUUUUUUUGCAAGAAGUUCCUGAAAGUCCCUUAUAAUUUGUUGUUUAAUCUUGUUAAAAAUUUUAAAAUGUCAUAUUUGCAAAUAUGGGUCAGGAUGAUAGAAAUGUAAACCACUAUCAGAGAAAUCAGUUUGACUGACACAAAUGAUAAGGGAUAAUUUUAGAUUCAGAAUGGCUGGGGAACUACAAGAUCAUUUCAUAGUAGACAAGUCUCGGUUUUAUUAAUGCCUUCCCAAAGCAUUAGUUCAGGUAGGACCACAUAAUUUAAUAAGAGAAUUGUGCCAAGAUAAGAAAAGAUAUAAAAAUAAAAACGAACAUGAGUGAGGUUCAAAAUUGGCUUCUUUGGGAAAUUGAGAUGAGAUAGCAUGGGAGGGAGACUUGUGGUAAGAAUUGCUGUAUUCAGGGUUAUGUGUGUAUAGAAGGAUGAGAAACAUUCCACAGAGAAUUAGCCACAGGAUCACUUUUGAGGAAAGAAGCCAGACAGGGGCCAUCAGUGUUAAUCUUAGGAAGAAAUCAUUUGUUGAGGAGGUGAGCAGAAUAAAAUAUAGCCUUGUGAAAAGGAUAGAGGUAAAAUGAGUGAAAGAUUUGCUUUAAAGAUGCGAUUUUAUGCUCAGAUUUUGAGUAAUAUCUCUAUUCUAUAAUAUAUAGACUAUCCUGGCAUUUGUUAAAUGAGUAUACCUUCUUACUCAGUUCUUAAGUAUUUGGUUUAUUUUAAGAAUUAAAAAAAUUAAGAUGCACUGAGCUUAUUUUUAUACUAGAUGUUAUCCAGAUCCUAUAUGAUGUUACAGAGGGCAAAAAUAUCAUAUUGUAUUCAUUGUAUAUUCAUCUCUGUAUUUCCAAAACCUAAUAAAGUCUACAGCCCCACAGUAGACACUCAAUAGAUGCUUACUGAGUGAAAGAUUCCUUAACUUCUGUAGUACUUUACAAAUUCCAAAGUAGUUUCAUACACAUGAUUUUGUAUAAUACUAUAAUAGCCCUUUGAGGUAUUUAUAAUACAUUUUUCAGAUGAGAAAAUAGAUUUAAAAGAGGAAAAUGACUUUCCAAGUCACAAAGAUUUUGAAUCCAAAUCUUCUUCCUUCUGUUUUAGUUUAGUCUAGUCACAAUGCUUCCCUUCUAUGAGUAAAGUAUAUUUUAAAUCACUACACACCCAGAGACAUACAGAGAUAUAGCGGCUAUCUAUAGGUUUGUCUGCUCAGCACCACACCUCCUUUAGGGGACCAAAUGCUGCCAUUCAUACUAUUCUAUGCUUCUGGUCACUGGAGUAUGAAAAUGACCCAUUUCAAGCCCAUAAUAGUACUCCAAACUAUUCCAAUUUUAGUCCUGGAGAAUUUUUCAAUUUAGAGGUAAAAAGGGUUAUUGUCCUUUCAAAUUUCGGAGUAGAAGAAUGGAAAGUGAGUGUGGUCUGUUUAUGGCCAUGGAGGAAGAGUAUUGUAGUUGGAGAAAAAUAAGGCAAGCCAAUUGUGAUGUAUAAAGAUAUAGAGCCCCAGACUGAUCACGCCAAAUAGGUCAGCUUCAUCCUACGUAUAUUGAACCAUAUGAAAUUACCAUUUUUUUGUAGGUCAAAAAUGGCUAAAUAUCAUUUUCAUUUGGCUCAAUCUAACAUGCAAUAUUAUCCAGAAUCUUAAUAAUAGAGAUUAAUCACUUAAUAAUAGUGAUUUCCAGCUCAAGACUCUCUUGAGAUAAAUGGGAAAAUGAAGGCCUAGAAAUGUCAAAAGAGUAGCUAAAGGUUAGUACUAAUGCAGGUUUUCUGAAUUUCAGUCUAGGACCCUGUCCAUUAAGCAUAAUGAGUCUAAAAUUUUAAACUAGUCACUUUCAAAUUUCAUAAACCAGUUGCUCUUCACCACUUGUUUUAUUUUAAAUUUAUAUUAUUUUCUUCUUUGUUAAGCCUAGGGAAAGGGAAAUAUGCUGUAUGACUCAAGGCAGACAGAUUUACUUGUUAUAAGCUUUUCCAGGAGAAAUAAUUGAUAGAUUUUGACUAGUAUCAUGAACUUUAAAACCAAAAGAAAUAACCUGACACGAGUUAAACGCAUGGUCAUUUUAAAGGCAAAAUUCACAUAUGCAAAAUUCUGACUACUAUAUUUUUUCUUUUUAAUUAGAUCUUCCAAGGAAUGUCACAAACUUCUGUGUUUAUAAGAAAUAACUGGAGUUGCUUUUUCAACAUGCAGGUUCCUGAGCCCCACUCAGACCACUAACUUAGUCUUUGGGGAUGGGCAUAAGCACCUUCUUUUUUUUUACCCCAUGUAGAGAUGGAGAUCUUACUAUACUGCCCAGGCUGGUCUUGAACUUCUGACCUCAAGAGAUCCUCAUGCCUUAGCCUCCUGAAGUACUGGGAUUACAGGCAUGAGCCACCUCAUUCUGCCCUUUAACAAGUUCACGAGGGGUUCUUAUACACUCAAGUUUAAGCAGUAGCGUCUUAAGUAUUGCCAUUCUCAGGGAUUCUGUCACUUAAUAUGCUUCUUUACACUGGAAGGUGAGAAUGUUGAGAACACAUCCCUUUAAAAUGACUACAUUGCCACACUUAUCAAUAGACUAUGAUGUAGGACUCAGGUGUAUUGAGUGGGAAGUGAUUCCACACGUGGGGCAACUCAGCAGCUCCUAUUAAUUAGCUUAUCACCUACACAUGGAUGUCUAUAUUGCUCAACUCUUUGUCCUAACAACAUAAUGUUUCUGAAGAACAAUUGAGUGUUUGUGGCUCAGACUUUAUGCAUGUAUCUUCAACUAAACUCAUUAUUAUUGUUUUCCCGAAAUCUGCUUUUACUUCUACAUUAUCUACUUAAGUUAAUUGUACUAUGAAUCACCUGUCUAAUCAAGCCAGAAAACUCAGAGUGGUCCUCAUGUCUAUGUUUCUCAUCUAAUUAGACACGUAGUCGUGUUGUUGAACCUACUUUUCAAACAUCUCUUGCUUGGAUUGUUUUUUUUCUCAUAAGCCUUAUUGCCAUUGCCAUAAGGCCUUCCCUUAGAGGUUUAUCAUCUCUUCUGGGCUUUUAAAAUGCCUCCUAGAAGGCUUCCCUGUCUCUAGUCUCAAGCUUUCUGUAGUCCAUCAUUCACAUUACUAUUGAAAAUAAAUUCAAAAUGCAAAUCAGAUUUUGCCACUCCUAAGAUAGUUCCUCAUUACCUGUCAGAUAAGGUCCAAUUCAUUUGCAUGGCACACAAGGCCAUUUGUGAUCUGAUUUCACUUUUCAGUACUGACCCUGGGCAGUUCAAGGGGCAACAUCUCAAUGCUGAAUAUACCAUUAAAAAAAAAAAUCUACUUUUCACUGCAGUUGUCUUUCCUGACGCAUUCUUAAUAUUUUCUUUAAGAGAUUACACUAACCUUAAUGCAAGUCUUUUGAUCCAAAAUCUCUUUAAGUUAAUUUAUCCCUCUAUACCAGCAUCCAUCUGAAAAUCCUAAAGGUUUAUUUCUCAGCUGCUGAAAGUCUCUUCCUUGCUUAUUCUUUGGGCUAGUUAAGAGAUACGUUUGUAUUUGAUCCUACAAGAUCCUACUUUAUUUCCAAGUUGCUUCUUAUCUAUCCUUUAUAAAGCACAGCAGGCACCAGAGACUAGGCCUGGAAGGUUGCUGGGUGUAAACAUCCUGUGUCCCUCUUCCACUAAGCACUGUAAAAAAAGGUUCUGAUUUUUCCCAGCCACUAUAAAGUCCUUUUGUUUGCAUUCAGAAGUAAGGUGACUGAUUUACUUUCUUAGCUGUGAAUAGCUUAGCCACUAGGAUCUUUAAAAACAGCCUGAGAUCACUUAAGUUGUCCGCAUUCUUAGAAUCCAGUAGCACAUUAAAAAAUUAAUAACACUGCCACAACCUCAUGUGUCAGUUUGUUUUAAUGAUUAAUAAACCUGCUGUCUGAAAACACUGACCUUGAAGGCAUGACUUCAUGUUGUGGGUUAAGGCUGUUUCAUCUUGUUUUGUUGUCAGUGUACAUGGACAAUGUUGGGCAUUAAAGGACAUUUCCUUUAUCCUUUUUGUAAGUCCAUCUUCUAAUCUUUUUUUUUUUUUUUUAAACACUUACACUCAUUUUACAGUGUUCGUAUCACUUAGGUUCUAAGAUCUCUAUAUUUCUUUUCAAGUGGUGGUUGUCAGAGUUAGAGGGUGUCGUGUUAGAGGUUUCACUGUCACUGAAAACACAAGGAAGCUUGCUUGAUGGUCCUUAUACUCCAGAUUUCAAUUUUAUCAGUCAGAAAAAAGUGCAGUGCCUUGUGCUCACUCAUGGUCAGCUAAUUAUUCUUUUCUUUUUGAUAAUCUGUUUUGUUGUUGUUUUCUGUCAUACCUGCCACCACUCAAUACUAUAUCCUUUGUUUUGGACAUUUCUCUAAUUGUCUAAAGUCAUUGUGAAUCCCAACCAUUACAGUUAAUGGUUACCCGUGACCGGAGAUGUUUGGGGGCAUCACUUCUAUCUUCUCAUACAGGUCUCACAGGAAUAUUAAACCCUAGGCCCAUGAAAAUUUACUUAUAUACCAACAAAUACCUGUAAGAAAAUUCAAGGAAGAGAAUUUCACCCACAUAGCAACAAACCACGUAAAAUACCUAGAAACAAUCUUAAGAGGAAAUGUGAGAUUCAUUACAAAGGAAAAAAAAUACAAAACCACUGAGAUAAAAAGAAAGUUUUAAAAAUAGAUUUUGCAGCUGAGAAAGACCUAGCAUUCACCCAGAAGGCCUUAAAGUGAGUGAGUUAAGGAAAUGAAUGCCAGAGUCUGAAGAGUCUGUGUUGCUGCUGGAGGACCUGCUGCUGGGAAGCCACAGCCACUUUGUGACUUUGGCUUUCUAAAUAGACCAAAAUCAAGAAAGCUUGAUGAAGAGAUUUAUUCACCCAGCUAAAGCCUCUGAAUUGCUGCUGAUACUGUGUGGCUUACUUUGUUGAGACAUGAAGUGAUUCCCAAAGUCUCCAAAUGGCUAUCUGUGGAAGUCUUCCGGUAGGCAGCUAGCUUCUGUUGCCCACAGAGAAAUAUUCACUACUGAGCUUUCUACUGGUUCUGAAAUCUGCAUUGGAAAUUGUCUGCUCACAGAGAAGUGGGUUUAUCAUGAAGUUAUCAAAGCUUAAGUUUUUAGGCUCACCACCUGUCUGGGCUGCUUCUAAGAUCCCAGCAAUACGAUUAGAGUGUUGUGAAUUCAAAGAAUUCUUUAGUCCUUGCCAAGAAAACUUGAAUUUUCCUGAAAUCUUACAAUAUUUUCCAAAUGUGAUAACAGUCCUAAAUUAUGGAAAAAAGCAUUGCAGAUUAUGUUUUAAAAUUAAUUAGUAAAAUAUUAUGUUAUUUUUCUGGAUGCUUGUGGUAAAUAUCAGUUUUUCAAGACUUGUAAUUUGUUGUGAUUUCUUUUCUCCUUGUCUAUGAGUUUUCAUUUUUGAACCUAAUUGCUUGUAUUCAUCGUUUUGAGUUUUCUUAAAAAAUGUAUUCCUAAAUUAUAUUGGCUUUAGGGAUCAUAAAACCUGGACCCAUGCAUGUACCCACCCCAUUAUCUUGGCAUCAUUUGUAUACUGAACUAUUUGUCUUUCUCUAGAGAGUUUAUACAGCUCCCCAAAGGCUCUCUAGUUCUUUCUGUCUUAGGAGAAAGGGGGACUCACCCUGAAAAGUUGGCUUAGGGUGUUGAUCCCGGUGAAUCCAGACAGUAGUAUACCAAUGUUCUCAUGCUUCCGCUUGUCUCGUAGGAGUGGGGCUGUGUUUUCACAGCUUUUACCUUUCCUCUUCUGAGACAUAUGAUCGGGUCUAAGCCACAUUACUGUCUGUGAGGACUGACUCCUUAGUAUGCUAUGCAUACCCACAAAUCCAGUAACUCUAGUUCACCUGGUCCGGUGGCGCACAUGCCCUGCCAUUUUAACAAGAUAAUAGUAUCUUCUCUAUAAGCCUUCCCCUUAGUGGAGGCUAUCUGCGUGUACUCUUUAGACUCCAGCCUCUUGUUAGGAGAAAGCAGGGCUAUUAUCUCAGGGUCCCUAGUUUGGGGAGGAGAGGCACAUAAAUGACUCUCAGAGAACUUAGGAAUCCAUGAUGUUUGCUACCAGGAUGCAGUUGGAUUCACACAUAGACUCUCAUAGUAUCUGAGCUGCAUUGUAAUCAUUGCUAGACUGUCCUACAUGCCGAGUAAGCUUUGGGUAAUAACUAUAUUUUCUGAGUUGAAAACAGAAAAACAGCGGGAAAUUUUUGAGUGUCUUUGUAGGGGUUAUAGAAAUAUGUAAAAUAUGAAUUGUCCUAGAAAAUCUGGAAAAACAUGUAUUUAAAGAGCAGUUUACUGGUGUUUAAAAUGACCCUAGGUUGCUGUGCACUUUGAAUUCCUUUAGCUGUUCUUCAUGUUUCAUCUCUUCCUUGCUGUCAGGUUAGUAAUGAUCAUUUCUUGCUGCUGUCUAUGAGUCUGCCAGUUAAGUCUUUCUUCAUAGUAUAGGUAGUGGUUUUCAUAGUGAGUCUGGAGCCAGGCUGUUUGGGUGGAAAUCUCAGAUCUGCCAUAAAGACACAUGCACACGUAUGUUUAUUGCGGCACUAUUCA